CAAGUGUUUGUUUGUAAAUGCCCACACAGGAGCUGGCUGUGAACCCGGAAAGCAUGGUCUUUGCCCUCAAAGAGCUUGAGAACAGCUAGGAUGCUGAGUGAACUGUUCUGGACCUGGUCAGUUUGAUGCUGGAGUGUUUGGAACAAACCAGGUGGCAGCCGGAGGAUGGUGGUGUGGCCAGCAGCCCCACAGGAUGCACAUGGGAGAGAAGUCAGCUGUAUGGAGCACUCCACAUAGCAAGAAACUGAGGACUGCCAUCAACAGCCAGCACCAACUAGCCAGACAUGUGGGUAAGACACCUUGGAAGUAGCUCCUCUAGCCCCACUCAAGCCUUCAGAUGAUGUAGCCUUGGCUGACACCCUGGUUGCAGCCUCGUGGGAGACCCCAAGCUAGGACCACCCAGCUCAGCCCCUCCUGAAUUCCUGACCCACAGAAACUGUAUGAGAUGAUAACUAUUCAUUGUUGCUUUGAACAACUAAGUUUUGGGGUGAUUUGUUACACAGCAGA